rnacentral:misc_RNA from 1 species
UCACCGCUUACGCGGGCAGUUUCACUAGAGUCCCCGGCUUUACCCGAUGGCAACUAAUGAUGGGGGUUGCGCUCGUUGCGGGACUUGACCCAACAUCUCACGUCACGAGCUGACGACAGCCAUGCAGCACCUGUGUUACGGCUCCCUUUCGGGCACACCCAGCUCUCGCUGGGCUUCCGUACAUGUCAAGGGUAGGUAAGGUUAUUCGCGUUGCAUCGAAUUAAUCCACAUCAUCCACCGCUUGUGCGGGUCCCCGUCAAUUCCUUUGAGUUUUAAUCUUGCGACCGUACUCCCCAGGCGGACAACUUCACGCGUUAGCUGCGGUACUGACCGGUAAACCGGCCAACGGCUAGCAUCCAUCGUUUACGGCGUGGACUAC